GGUUCUGUAGCUCAAUUGGUAGAGUGCAAGACUCUCAACCUUGUGGUCGUGGGUUCAAACUUAAUUAGGCUUU
rnacentral:tRNA from 1 species